CAGAAGCAAAGAGAAGGGGAGAACUUGCUCAAUCCAUCUGGCAGCUUGCUGAAUAUCAUAUCUCUGGUAAGACGAAUCCCUUCCAUUAGCCCCAGUGCCAUCAGCAGCCUCCCCAUCUCCACUUGCACUGGAAGGCUGCUGAGGAGCACCUUCUCCUGACCCACGAUCAUUUCUAGAAUCUCCCUGAACAUCUGAUUCUAUCCCAGCCCUUGGCUGCUGCACAGACACCUCACCCUGAGCACCCAACUGCCCAACCACCAAUCCAGAGCCCUCCCUGUCAUGCUCAUGUUCUCCUGCACCGAUUAUCCUAAUAGCAACCUCACCAUUGUUGGCUGCCGCAGCUGCUGCUGCUGCGGCUGUAGAAUCAUCAAGUCGAUGAUUAUGAAUCCCACCAGAGGCGUUGAUCAAAGGGUCCGUUUCUUGAUGAGUUGACCUGGAGAUCCGCAAAAGACCCGAAUACUCUAACAAGGCAGAAAUCGGCGCCUGAAUGAUACUUGAAGCCGAUAGCAUUCCGUAUCUCCUGGAAUUACUACUACUUGUACUACUCCCUCCCGAAGACCUAUACGCGUCGGAAUUACUACCAGACGCUUCCAUCUGCGCAGAUGCCCUAACCCUUCGAAGGCGAAACUCCGUUGAGGACCUUUGAAAUGGGAAAGAAGAAUUCGAAGACAAUGAACAACAGCAAUCAAGACAAAUUAUCUCAUUUGCAGAAACCCUAAACUUAAACCUAAUAAAGAGGAUAGAAAAAGUCAAAUAGGAAAGCGUCGAAAGAAUUUGACCAUUCCCAUUUGAAAGGCCCAAUCUGAGACUUCAAAAUCCGAGAGAUCGAUUGGACCAAAGAGUUGAAAAAAUGACAAAGAAUGUGAAAUGGAGGAAUCUGAUGGACGCCCAGAAAGCCCUUGCCUUG
rnacentral:misc_RNA from 1 species